rnacentral:rRNA from 1 species
AUGAACGCUGGCGGCGUGCCUAAUACCUGCAAGUCGAGCGAACAGACGAGGAGCUUGCUCCUCUGACGUUAGCGGCGGACGGGUGAGUAACACGUGGAUAACCUACCUAUAAGACUGGGAUAACUUCGGGAAACCGGAGCUAAUACCGGAUAAUAUAUUGAACCGCAUGGUUCAAUAGUGAAAGACGGUUUUGCUGUCACUUAUAGAUGGAUCCGCGCCGCAUUAGCUAGUUGGUAAGGUAACGGCUUACCAAGGCAACGAUGCGUAGCCGACCUGAGAGGGUGAUCGGCCACACUGGAACUGAGACACGGUCCAGACUCCUACGGGAGGCAGCAGUAGGGAAUCUUCCGCAAAGGGCGAAAGCCUGACGGAGCAACGCCGCGUGAGUGAUGAGGGUCUUCGGAUCGUAAAACUCUGUUAUUAGGGAAGAACAAAUGUGUAAGUAACUAUGCACGUCUUGACGGUACCUAAUCAGAAAGCCACGGCUAACUACGUG